CUGGGGCAUGGCACAAGUGAACUCUAGCUCUGAUUAGCUUAAAAUAUACUUUCCAUACAACUGGAAAAUAACCACCUGCAUUUCUGGUCAGUUUAGUACUUCUGCCCCAGAGUUAGGUGAAAUAAUAAAGCCUGGGUAAGAUAGACAUGAUACAUCUAUCAAUAAAGAAACUCAAAGAAGAUAUGGAAGCAAUGGAUAUUAGUCCUUUAUACCAAGAGUUGCAAUCUUUCCUUUUAAUCAGGAAGACUCCGACUUCAUAGAUCAGACCCAAUUCUUCAGCUUUUCUCAUCCACACUGUGUUGGAAUCUGUAUUGUAUCUUAUCCAGGUGUAGAGUUUGUUUCAGAUCCCAGUCCUCCAAGUUUUCUUCAUCCUAUCCUAUAACAGCAUUCCAUUUUGUGAACAUACUAGAAUCCAUUUAUCUACUGCUUGCUUAUUAUGAAUGCUAUCAAGACACAUUUCAAGAGCUACUAGAACUCUCAUCAACUGUGGGAAGGCAAGUUGGUAUAAACACUGGAAAACAGUUUGGAAGUUUAUACAAAAAAUAACAUAUGUGUACUUUUCAGACAGUCUUUACACUAAUAAGUAUAUACCCAACAGAUAAACUGUAUAUUUCUACCCAAUUAGUAGAAGAAUGUUUACAACAGCAUCAUUUUUCUUUUUCAAUUUAGCCAUUCUACAGGGUAUGUAGUGUUAUAAAGUUCUGGUUUUACUUUUAAUUUCUCUUGAUGACUAAUGAAGCUCAGCACCCACUCCCAAUUUAAAUAUCAUUUCUGUAAGGUACUUAUUUGAGUUUUUUGCUCAUUUAAAAAAAGAUUUUCUCUUUUCCUAUUUAUUUGAUAAAAGCUCUUUAUAUAUUCUGGAUCUAAACCUUUUUUGAGGGGAAUAUGUUUUGUAAAUACCUUUUCCCACUUUGUGGGCUAUCUAUUCACUCUUCCUAUUGGCGUCUUCUGAUGAACAGAAGUUUAAGUCAUAAUAUAGUCCAAUUUAUCAAUUUUCUAUUUAUCAUUGGUAAUCUUAAUGUCUUGUUUGAAAAUAUGUGUCUACUCCAAAGUCAUAAAGGUGUCUUUAUAUACUUUCACGUAAAUUUUCUAUUUUUUAAAGAAAUUCUUUGAUAUUUCUAUUUUUAUGGAAAUUCUUUGAUAUUUAGGUCCUCUGUUUAUCUGGCCUUUUUAUGAUGUCAUGUAAGAGCAAAAAUUAAUCCCUAUGUUGGAUAUCAUAUUGACCCUGUGACUCAUUUACUGAAAAAUGAUACUUUCCACAGUGCUAUGUAGUUUCAACUUUAUCAUAUACUAGAUGAUCAAUACAGGUAUGCAUCUAUUUGUGGACCCUCUUAGAUUGUCCGUUGUUCUAUUUGUUUAUUCUUGUGUCAAUAUUAAACUUUAUUAAAUUUCAGUAAGAGGCCAUGACUUUUGUAGUAUAAAUUCUCCAGCUUUGUUCUUCCAGAUUGCCUUGGUUAUUCUUUGCCAUUUGCAUUUCUAUAUAAAUUUUAAAAUCAGCUCACUGGACACAAUAAAAAGCCUGUUGAGAUUUUGAUUGGAAUCUAUAGAUAAAUUUUUGGAGAACUGACAUUAUAACAAUAUGAAGUCCUCUUAUCCAUGACCUUGGAUUUAUUCAGGUUGUUAUCAGUUUUUCUUGGU
rnacentral:lncRNA from 1 species